UGCCCUAGUAACGGCGAGUGAAGCGGCAACAGCUCAAAUUUGAAAUCUGGCUCUUUUAGAGUCCGAGUUGUAAUUUGCAGAGGGCGCUUUGGCUUUGGCAGCGGUCCAAGUUCCUUGGAACAGGACGUCACAGAGGGUGAGAAUCCCGUACGUGGUCGCUGGCUAUUGCCGUGUAAAGCCCCUUCGACGAGUCGAGUUGUUUGGGAAUGCAGCUCUAAAUGGGAGGUACAUUUCUUCUAAAGCUAAAUAUUGGCCAGAGACCGAUAGCGCACAAGUAGAGUGAUCGAAAGAUGAAAAGCACUUUGGAAAGAGAGUCAAACAGCACGUGAAAUUGUUGAAAGGGAAGCGCUUGCAGCCAGACUUGCUUACAGUUGCUCAUCCGGGUUUCUACCCGGUGCACUCUUCUGUAGGCAGGCCAGCAUCAGUUUGGGCGGUAGGAUAAAGGUCUCUGUCACGUACCUCCUUUCGGGGAGGCCUUAUAGGGGAGACGACAUACUACCAGCCUGGACUGAGGUCCGCGCAUCUGCUAGGAUGCUGGCGUAAUGGCUGUAAGCGGCCCGUCUUGAAACACGGACCAAGGAGUCUAACAUCUAUGCGAGUGUUUGGGUGUCAAGCCCGAGCGCGUAAUGAAAGUGAACGGAGGUGGGAACCCGCAAGGGUGCACCAUCGACCGAUCCUGAUGUCUUCGGAAGGAUUUGAGUAAGAGCAUGGCUGUUGGGACCCGAAAGAUGGUGAACUAUGCUUGAAUAGGGUGAAGCCAGAGGAAACUCUGGUGGAGGCUCGCAGCGGUUCUGACGUGCAAAUCGAUCGUCAAAUUUGGGCAUAGGGGCGAAAG
rnacentral:rRNA from 1 species